CACAGGGGAAAUGGAGACACCUGGUGAUGUUGGUAUUUGCUUAACAGAGCCAGCAGCUAUGGCCACGCCUGUAAUUUCCUGCAGAUCAAAGGCAUGGUUGAAAGCAGCUAUUUAGCACCGAGCCGAGCGUUUUGGUGUGCAUUUCCUGGGCCAAACCCAUUUCUUUCCAAAGAAGAGACUGGCUGACCUGACAUAUCUCCUAGGGCACCCAGAUGCUGGGGAACGGAGCAAAACAACACCUCGUGAGAUAACAGUUUGUAAAGUCCUCGAAAGUGGUCAGGGGCAGAAAGGUAAAGGGAGCAGAAAGCUGGUGCUGCGCAGCGAGGGAGAGCCGGACACACACACCGGGGCUGUUUGCAGCUUUCCAGAACCACAGGGAGGACACAGCACUGGCCGAGAGGGCAAGCUGCAGGAGGGCUCUGCUUUAUUCAUGCUCAAUAUGUGCCAAGGAGAAGCAGGGGACACAAAUCCAGGAGCUGGACAGGUUCAGGGAGGCAGCACUCAGAGAGACAUUAGGAGACAGCUGGGAGCAGAGCCAGGUUUCAGCUUUCGUUGACAGGCUUUUCAAGAUCAUUAAAUAAAUGUCACAGGAACUCUGGAGGUGGCGAGUAAUCAGAGCAACUGGGAGAGCUGAAACGGCUGCAAGGGCAAAGAAAAUAUUUUGCAAAGGAAACAUUGCUGAACUCUUCCACGGGAGACAAAGGAGGUGAAAAGGGAGAAACUUUCUGUUUCAUUUUGAAUGGGUAUUUUUCCGCUCGCUUUGCUUUCCGGAAGACAAAAAAAUGUCAGCAGAAAUGCUUUCAUCAAAAGGUAAUUCUGCUCGAAAUGUCUGGCGGGUGAAGAGAGGCUUUCAUCUCUCGGCUCUCCCCGCUGACGGCCGGGACAGGUCACCUUUCCCAGCGGGGGAGCUGGGAUGGAGCAAGCUGUUUUUUUCAGGGACACUGGCAUCGAGCUGUCCUUGAGGUCAGGCCUUUUUUGCCGGGCACAUGCGGUGCUCUGUGCCAGCUCACAGGCAGAAGUAGAAGUGGAAUUUAGGGAGCUUGUUUAUUGGCCUCCCGCUCUAGCCCUUAGUCUGGAAACCAUUUGAGGAAAAUUGAUCGAAUGAUUCUGUUAUGAGUUGUGCUCUUGCCAUUGUUAGUGUCAUAAACUCUUAUAGUUCCUCAUUUAUGGAGUAUGCAUGUCUUAUUCUUUUAGCCCAGGAAUUAUUUUA